AGCAAGAACUGAGAGGACAGAAAUUAGGGAAGACUGUAGGCAGGGGUCGCUUUGGGAAUGGAUCCUAUAUCCUGGCAGGUGUUGACUUGAUUGAAAGCCUUAGAAGUGAGCAUGUGACCACUAUGUCAUCUAUAUCAUAGAGCCACCAUGAUGGCCAGAGAGAACCUGCCCUGUUAACUUGGGUUCCAAGGUGACAAUGACAUGGAACAGUGCCUCAGGUGAUUAGGAAUAGAUGAGUAACAUGGGAAGAGA
rnacentral:lncRNA from 1 species